rnacentral:rRNA from 1 species
CCUACGGGGGGCAGCAGUGAGGAAUAUUGGUCAAUGGGCGUAAGCCUGAACCAGCCAAGUCGCGUGAGGGAUGAAGGUUCUAUGGAUCGUAAACCUCUUUUAUAAGGGAAUAAAGUGGGGGACGUGUCCGGUUUUGUAUGUACCGUAUGAAUAAGGAUCGGCUAACUCCGUGCCAGCAGCCGCGGUAAUACGGAGGAUCCGAGCGUUAUCCGGAUUUAUUGGGUUUAAAGGGUGCGUAGGCGGCCUUUUAAGGCAGCGGUGAAAGUCUGUGGCUCAACCUUAGAAUUGCCGUUGAAACUGGGAGGCUUGUGUAUGUUUGCGGCAGGCGGCAUGCGUGGUGUAGCGGUGCAAUGCUUAGAUUUCACG